GUGUCGCUUGUCGGGUCUGGUAAUCCACCUAAUACCCAUGAUGAGUUGAUCAACCUUGCCACAAAUCCUGAAACAGGGUUCAUUCGUCUCUUCAGUCAGCAUCAAUUGCAGGAGUUUUUGUUAUUUGAGAGGGAAUAUACAAUAUACAAAAUGGAACUCGAGGAGGAGCCAACCGCUUGAUUUGAGGAGCUUAAAUACUUGACAGGCUUGUUUGAAUUUGAGUUAUGGUUUACAUUUUUGUAGUCUAUCAAAAUUAGGUUCUUUUUUGGAUGGUUGUUACCUAUUAUAUUGUUACAUUAAAUAUAAUAUUUGUUUUUAUUGUUAUUUAAAAUCUGAAUAUAUCGUAUCG